UAAGAAAUCAAGUCUCCCAACGGCUAGUAGACAUCGUUUACGGCGUGGACUACCAGGGUAUCUAAUCCUGUUUGAUCCCCACGCUUUCGCACCUCAGCGUCAGUAUCGAGCCAGGAGGCCGCCUUCGCCACUGGUAUUCCUCCAUAUAUCUACGCAUUUCACCGCUACACAUGGAAUUCUACCUCCCUCUCUCGUACUCUAGUCGGCCAGUAUCAACUGCAGUUCCCAGGUUGAGCCCGGGGCUUUCACAGCUGACUUAACAAACCGCCUACGCGCGCUUUACGCCCAGUAAUUCCGAUUAACGCUCGCACCCUCCGUAUUACCGCGGCUGCUGGCACGGAGUUAGCCGGUGCUUCUUCUAAAGGUAAUGUCAGAGCUUGCCGCUAUUAACGACAAACUUUUCUUCCCAAUUGAAAGUGCUUUACAACCCUAAGGCCUUCUUCACACACGCGGCAUGGCUGCGUCAGGCUUUCGCCCAUUGCGCAAUAUUCCCCACUGCUGCCUCCCGUAGGAGUCUGGACCGUGUCUCAGUUCCAGCGUGGCUGAUCAUCCUCUCAGACCAGCUAAGGAUCGUCGCCUUGGUGGGCCUUUACCCCACCAACUAGCUAAUCCUACGCAGGCUCAUCCGAUAGCGCGAGGCCCGAAGGUCCCCCGCUUUCCCCCUUAGGGCGUAUGCGGUAUUAGCUUGAGUUUCCCCAAGUUGUCCCCCACUACCAGGUAGAUUCCUACGCGUUACUCACCCGUCCGCCGCUCUACUCAGCCCGAAGGCUUUUCGCGCUCGACUUGCAUGUGUUAGGCCUGCCGCCAGCGUUCAGUCUGAGCCAGGAUCAAACUCU
rnacentral:rRNA from 1 species